GGCCCACCACGCUUCGCCGAUGGCUUCGCGUGGCACCGCCACGCAAGACAUGAAGCGAAGCGUGUCCGGCAUAGCCCGUAGGCGACGCCGGACUUUUGAGAGGCGCUUCGUCUUCUGGUUACGGGGCCAUAGCUCAGCUGGGAGAGCGCGUGCUUUGCAAGCAUGAGGUCGUCGGUUCGAUCCCGUCUGGCUCCACCAGAUGGUUUGAUCAUCGAGAUCGCGCAUCGUCGUCCGCGAAACAUCACUUCGCAUCCUGCUAGUCUGGAUAGACAGCAGGUUGCGUGUUUUCUGACAUCGUAAAGAGGAGAUCGAUCCGAGUUGGGUCGUGCAGCAUAUCGUUGCGCGAGCCUUCAUUAUCUCCGGAUCAUUUUCGGCGCUCGCUUUCAGCCGUGAGGUUGAAUGCGAGUUGUAAAAUGAUCCUUUUAGCGAAGCUUGACCGCCUCGCUAUCGGAACGAUCUUACGAA
rnacentral:tRNA from 1 species